rnacentral:rRNA from 1 species
GGAUUAGAUACCCUGGUAGUCCACGCCGUAAACGAUGUCUACUAGUCGUUGGGUCCCUUGAGGACUUAGUGACGCAGCUAACGCAAUAAGUAGACCGCCUGGGGAGUACGGCCGCAAGGUUAAAACUCAAAUGAAUUGACGGGGGCCCGCACAAGCGGUGGAGCAUGUGGUUUAAUUCGAUGCAACGCGAAGAACCUUACCUGGUCUUGACAUACACAGAAUCUUGUAGAGAUACGAGAGUGCCUUCGGGAAUUGUGAUACAGGUGCUGCAUGGCUGUCGUCAGCUCGUGCC